GAGCGAUUUACUUCGGUAAAGAGCGGCGGACGGGUGAGUAACGCGUGGGUAACCUACCCUGUACACACGGAUAACAUAUCGAAAGGUAUGCUAAUACGGGAUAAUAUAUUUGAGAGGCAUCUCUUGAAUAUCAAAGGUGAGCCAGUACAGGAUGGACCCGCGUCUGAUUAGCUAGUUGGUAAGGUAACGGCUUACCAAGGCGACGA
rnacentral:rRNA from 1 species